UACAGAGGCGGCAAGCGUUGUUCGGAAUUAUUGGGCGUAAAGAGCACGUAGGCGGCUGUGUAAGUCGGUUGUGAAAGCCUUCCGCUUAACGGAAGAACGGCAUCCGAUACUGCAUAGCUUGAGUGCGGGAGGGGAGAGUGGAACUUCUGGUGGAGCGGUGAAAUGCGUAGAUAUCAGAAGGAACACCGGCGGCGAAGGCGACUCUCUGGUCCGUAACUGACGCUGAGUGUGCGAAAGCUAGGGGAGCAAACGG
rnacentral:rRNA from 1 species